rnacentral:rRNA from 1 species
GACGAACGCUGGCGGCGUGCUUAACACAUGCAAGUCGAACGGAAAGGCCCUGCUCUUGCGGGUUGCUCGAGUGGCGAACGGGUGAGUAACACGCGAGUAACCUGCCCUUGACUUAGUGAUAACUUUUGGAAACUGGGGCUAUAAUCGGAUAGGAGCUCUUGCUGCAUGGUGGGGGUUGGAAAGAUUCGGCGGUUGGGGAUGGUCUCGAAGGAUACCAGCUUGUUUGUGGGGUAGUGGCUUACCAAGGCUUAGACGGGUAGCCGGCCUGAGAGGGUGACCGGCCACAUGGGGACUGAGAGACGGAGCAGUAUCCUACGGGAGGCAGCAGUGGAGAGUAUUGCACAGUGAGCGGAAGCGUGAUGCAGCGGCGCUGCGUGCGGGAUGACGGCCUUCGAGUUAUAAACCGCUGUCUCCUGUGACAAAGCGUGAGUGACGGUAAUGAGUAAGGAAGCACCGGCUAACUACGUG